GGCCAGCUGCCUCUAUGGAGAGGCCCACCUGGAGAGGAACUGAGGCUUCCUGCCAAUGGCCACAUGAAUGAGCUUGGAAAUGGAUCCUCUGGCCCCAGAGAAAGUAGAUGACUGCAGCCCUGCCGACAGCUUAACUGCAAUUUCAUGAGAGACCUCGAAUCAGAAUCACCCAGAUAUGCUACUCUUGGAUUCCUGACUAUCAGAAACUGUGCCCGUCCCCAGUUGGUGAGUUUUCCAGUGGCCGGAAGACCGAGCCCUAGAGUAACAGCUGUGGACUCACUGCCCACUCUGUGUUUAUUGGGCUGGAACCCCCUCUCUGUCCUGGAACUUCUGGUUGGAGAGCCCUCUGAGCUCAUGGGGCCUGUGAAUGGUGGGUCUUGGAGUGAUUUCCAGCCCCAGUGAUCAGGUGUCCUGUCAGUGCCCCUCAACUCCCUGCAGUCCCCUACUUCCCAUCAAGCCAACUCCCAAAUUCCAGGAUGUGACAGUUCCCAGGUCUACUGCCUUCCAGGCACUGAGCUCAUGUUGGGGACC
rnacentral:lncRNA from 10 species